UUUGCCUUCGGGUGGGGAAUAACAGUCGGAAACGGCUGCUAAUACCGCAUAAUGCAGCGGCAUCAUAUAAUGACAGUUGUUAAAGCGGGGGAUCGUAAGACCUCGCGCCUGAAGAGAAGCCCGCGGCGGAUUAGGUAGUUGGUGAGGUAAUGGCUCACCAAGCCCGCGAUCCGUAACCGGCCUGAGAGGGCGGUCGGUCACACUGACACUGACAUACGGGUCAG
rnacentral:rRNA from 1 species